rnacentral:rRNA from 1 species
UACGUAGGGUGCAAGCGUUAAUCGGAAUUACUGGGCGUAAAGCGUGCGCAGGCGGUUAUGUAAGACAGGGGUGAAAUCCCAGGGCUUAACCUUGGAACUGCAUUUGUGACUGCAUAGCUAGAGUACGGUAGAGGGGGAUGGAAUUCCGCGUGUAGCAGUGAAAUGCGUAGAUAUGCGGAGGAACACCGAUGGCGAAGGCAAUCCCCUGGACCUGUACUGACGCUCAUGCACGAAAGCGUGGGGAGCAAACAGG